UUAAGUAUUUUUACUCCAAAUAUUUACUGGACUGAUUUAAACAUUAAAAUUACUCCUUUCUAAUCCUCUGCUGUAUGUUCAAACCUGAGGCCUUAAAUAGAAACACACAAGUAUCUGAUUGAAGGAACUUCUGCAGAGUCCUGGUUCCAGAACAUGAUGAUAAAAUUAUAGACAAACUUCAACAAAAGCUGCCUGAGAGUUUACAGGUUUUUAUGUUAGAUUUCUUCAGUAAUUUAAUGAGCGUUAUCAGCAAUAAUCAAGUGUUCAUUUGAUGAACUUCAUUUCCUAAAACAUCCAGAAUUGGAGCUCAUAUCUUUGGCAGCUGUAAAGUUUCUGCUCCUUCAAAGUUCACAACACAAUGAAUGAAUUCCUAAAACACUCUCAAUGCUGGAGAGCGUUUGUGAUGCUGAAGCAGUGACCAGUUUUUCUGUUUCUUCUCUGGAGAUGCACAAUGAGGGACGUCUGCAGCGACUGAGAAAGAGUCUCACCACAUCCUGACAUGAGGAAAAAGACUUUAUUGAAGACUACAAUGAGAAAAACUAUCAGACAGCAGACGGCUGCAUUCAAGUCUGUAGCUGCUGAAUUCAUGGAUGAAUCAUCUGGCACUAGAGAGGAAGACCAUCAAACAUCCACGUCAGCUGAUGGAGGUCCAAGAGUCUCACCAAACAACCAACCUACAGAGUGAAGACCUCGAAUCUGAUUGGACGGCCUCCUAUUCAGCCACAUGUGUGAACAAAUGCCUCUAAGUUGAUUUGUUUUCUAAAAUAAAUCUAGUUUGAGUCCUAAUCUA
ensembl:lncRNA